rnacentral:rRNA from 1 species
UACGUAGGGGCUAGCGUUGUCCGGAAUCAUUGGGCGUAAAGCGCGCGUAGGCGGCCCGGUAAGUCCGCUGUGAAAGUCAAAGGCUCAACCUUUGAAUGUCAGCGGAUACUGCCGGGCUAGAGUCCGGAAGAGGCGAGUGGAACUCCUGGUGUAGCGGUGGAAUGCGCAGAUAUCAGGAAGAACACCAACGGCGAAGGCAGCUCGCUAGGACGGUACUGACGCUGAGACGCGAAAGCGUGGGGAGCGAACAGG